UACGGGAGGCAGCGGUGGGGAAUAUUGCACAAUGGGCGCAAGCCUGAUGCAGCCAUGCCGCGUGUAUGAAAAGGCCUUCGGGUUGUAAAGUACUUUCAGUCGUGAGGAAGGUGUUAAGGUUAAUAACCUUAGCAAUUGACGUUAGCGACAGAAGAAGCACCGGCUAACUCCGUGCCAGCAGCCGCGGUAAUACGGAGGGUGCGAGCGUUAAUCGGAAUUACUGGGCGUAAAGGGCACGCAGGCGGUUAAUUAAGUUGGAUGUGAAAUCCCCGGGCUUAACCUGGGAAUGGCAUUCAAGACUGGUUAGCUAGAGUCUUGUAGAGGGGGUAGAAUUCCAUGUGUAGCGGUGAAAUGCGUAGAGAUGUGGAGGAAUACCGGUGGCGAAGGCGGCCCCUGGACAAAGACUGACGCUCAUGUGCGAAAGCGUGGGGAGCAAACAGGGAUUAGAUACC
rnacentral:rRNA from 1 species